UACGUAGGUGGCAAGCGUUGUCCGGAUUUACUGGGCGUAAAGAGCGCGCAGGCGGUUGGAUAAGUCGAAUGUGAAAGCCCCCGGCUUAACUGGGGGAGGGUCAUUCGAUACUGUUCAACUUGAAGGCAGGAGAGGGCAGCAGAAUUCCCGGUGUAGUGGUGAAAUGCGUAGAGAUCCGGAAGAACACCGGAGGCGAAGGCGGCUUGCUGGGCUUGGUCUGACGCUGAGGCGCGAAAGCGUGGGGAGCGAACAGG
rnacentral:rRNA from 1 species